ACACGUGGGUAACCUGCCCAAGAGAUCGGGAUAACACCUGGAAACAGAUGCUAAUACCGGAUAAAAGCUACUUUCGCAUGAAAGAAGUUUAAAAGGCGGCGUAAGCUGUCGCUAAAGGAUGGACCUGCGAUGCAUUAGCUAGUUGGUAAGGUAACGGCUUACCAAGGCGAUGAUGCAUAGCCGAGUUGAGAGACUGAUCGGCCACAUUGGGACUGAGACACGGCCCAAACUCCUACGGGAGGCAGCAGGC
rnacentral:rRNA from 1 species